UACGUAGGGUGCAAGCGUUGUCCGGAAUUAUUGGGCGUAAAGAGCUCGUAGGCGGCCUGUCGCGUCGGAUGUGAAAAUCCAAGGCUCAACCUUGGACCUGCAUUCGAUACGGGCAGGCUAGAGUUCGGUAGGGGAGACUGGAAUUCCUGGUGUAGUGGUGAAAUGCGUAGAGAUCAGGCGGAACACCCGUGGCGAAAGCGGCGCGCUGGAUCCCUUCUGACGCUGAGGCGCGAAAGCCAGGGGAGCGAACGGG
rnacentral:rRNA from 1 species